ensembl:lncRNA
GUCUAUUCAGGAAGCGGAUGAGAUCACGGGCCUGAAACACUUUAGCCUUCAAGGCAGAGCAGUGUUAAUUCCGGUGUUAGCAAGAAACGGAGGCUGACAAGAUGCUGACAAGCUUAAGGGCUGGUGCUUUAAAGAAGCUUUUCCAGGAGAUAAGGUGUAUUUGAACAUGUGAUUGGUAUAUACAGAACAGAGCUUUUUGCUAAUUGUCCUUUUCAUGGUGGUAGCAGGGGUGAAUUAAAAAAAAAACAAACUGCCAAGUAUCUGUAAGAAUAUAUAUCUGCCCUGUAGAGAAUUUUCGGCAGAAUUCAAUUCCAUUAUUUAAAACAGUUUUUUUUAAAUAAGAUCCAGCCUGAAUCUUGACACAGUAACCUGACUAGCUAUUCUACAACUAUCUUAAGAGAAUUUGGCUAGCUGCUUUAAUUUACAAAGGUUAUUUUUAAAUCCCAUUCUUUUGACUAUCCUAAACCUCAGGGUUUUGUGCUUGCAGUUUUGUCUAAUCAUUUUGAUGAUUAAAUUUGACCCCUUGUAUAGAGGACAGAUCAGUGGAGGAGUUUGUUGCAUAGCAUUUUGAGGGUUGGGUCUGAGGAACUGUUCUACACUUUGAUUAUAGAGGUAAUUCCAUUUGUCAGAAAUUUUGAGUGAGUUUUACUGAAUGUAAAUUCAAUUUCAAUAAAUAUGACUUAAAAACUUUCCCUUUCUGGCAUCUUAAAUGACAUUUCCAAUGAAAUCUGUGGGAAGAGGGUCUUGGGUCAGUGAUUAAGCUGCUGAGAAUAAAGUGGGCAAAAACAUCAAAAUCACCUUGGGGUUAUCUAAGUGUGUAAAUGCUUGAGAAACAGUCAAGGGAUGUGUUACCUUACCCAUCAAGGGUAUACAAGUUUUCUUUAUAGAUGUUUCAGACAACAGCUUUUGGCAGGGUGUGAGUGGUAUGACACUUCCGUGUCUCUUGGCAAUGUAUACUAGUAGCCACAUGGUAGCAGAAAAUGAAGUGUGAAA